UAUGCACGUGUUUAUGUGUUUGUAUGUGUUUCGCUUACAUGUAUGUGUAUCAAGAGUCCAUAAUAGAGUCCAGAUAAAUAGAGAACUUUCACUAUUUGGACUGUAGAGAAAAUUAUGGAUUCUUGAUGUGUAUACAUGUGUGUGUAUGUUUGUACAUGUACGUGUUGGAGGGUGCCGAGUUGAGAAUAGAAGGUUGUGGAUGAUCGAUCGGACAUGGUCCGUCAUGGUCGUCGCAGCGAGCGAACCGGAUGUAAAUAUGAAAUGUUCAUCGUUUGUGCGGUGUGGUGGGCAGUCACCACAUAUAUGUCCCCUCCCUCCUCGUGUUGCCCUUCUCUCCUCGUGUUGCCCUUCCCUCCCCUAGCUCUCCUCCUCCCUCUGCUACUGCUCCUCCCCAGGUGGUCUCUCCCUCUGCUACUGCUCCUCCCCAGGUGGUAUCCUCCCUCUGCUACUGCUCCUCCCCAGGUGGUAUCCUCCCUCUGCUACUACUCCUCCCCAGGUGAUAUCCUCCCUCUGCUACUGCUCCUCCCCAGGUGGUAUCCUCCCUCUGCUACUGCUCCUCCCCAGGAGGUAUCCUCCCUCUGCUACUGCUCCUCCCCAGGUGGUAUCCUCCCUCUGCUAGUGCUCCUCAUCAGGUGGUAUCCUCCCUCUGCUACUGCUCCUCCCCAGGUGAUGACAACCUCCACUUUUCCUCGUGCUGUAGGGGGGAGGGGGAGGGGGGGUGGAGGAGGAGGGACUUGUGUUUGUUGUUUAGGUGGUGUUCACAGGGAGCGUUAGAUAAGAGUUUUCCGCGAAGGGCAUUUGUAGGGCAUUGUUGUUGUUUGUUGUUGUUGUUGUUGUUUGUGAAAGAUUGAUUGAUCGUUGAUGAUCGCACGUGUGUGUUGUGAAUAAUAAUAGUUGCCGAUAUCUCGAUCGACGCGUUCUCGCUAAUAUGGCGGUUCGUAUUCGAAUAAGCGGUUGUGAUUCGCGGGUGCUCUUUUGAUCUUGAUGACGUCAUCAGUUCGUGACCGACGCCGUCCGGCUGGUGGCGCCCUCUAUAUGCAAGCUGCGAGUGGUGCUGUGCGCGUCGACCGUCCAUGUUUUUGGCAUUGUGCCAACGAAAGUUCUUGCCGCGUACAACGUUGCCAUGGCACCGGCUUCAUACUUUCUUACUUUCAUAAGGUGUUGUCGUCGCGUUCAUUCACGUCGCAUAUAUAUUUUUCUAGAGACCUUUCGUGAGUUCGAAGCGGGGAGAUUGAGGGGCUUGGGGAGUUUAGGGGGGUUUAGCCGUCCAGCAACGAAGACCGAGAUAAACAGAUGAACAGCUGUAAACAGAUGAACAGCUGUAAACAGAUGAACAGUUGUAAACAGAUGAACAGCUGUAAACAGAUGAACAGCUGUAAACAGAUGAACAGCUGUAAACAGAUGAACAGCUGUAAACAGAUGAACAGCUGUAAACAGAUGAACAGUUGUAAACAGAUAAACAGUUGUAAACAGAUAAACAGCUGUAAACAGAUAAACAGCUGUAAACAGAUGAACAGCUGUAAACAGAUGAACAGCUGUAAACAGAUGAACAGCUGUAAACAGAUGAACAGUUGUAAACAGAUGAACAAGAGAGCAAGUAUGAUGGAAUAUAUGUAUAUAUAUAGGAAGAGAGAAAGAGCGCGCGAGAGGGAGAGGGAGAGGGAGAGGGAGAGGAAGAGAGAGAGAUGUUACAGGUCGUUCGGUCCCUGGACGAUAAGUGUACAUUGUCUCGGAUGUUUUGCUCACGCGAGAUGCUGGUAGUGGUUAACACCGACGACGAUGAUGUAAUAGAAGGCAGACGAAGUGUCGAACGAGAGGUAAUACAUCGGAAAAAUUUGGAAGUUUGACUGGAUUCGUUUGCGAGACGUUGAUGUCUCGGUAACGCGUAUAUCUAAUAUACGCGUGCAGCUAGAAAUCGUUAGGCUGGUCUCGUAAGGGGGGCUCUAGUUACGCUCAUAGGGUCUAUGUCUCCCUGGGUACUGCCGGAACGUACCCUGGGUACGGUCCGGUAUACCGGAACGUACCCUGGGUACGUUCCGGCAGUACCCAGGGAGACAUAGACCCUGGCAGCUCUAGUUACUGUGUACUAUCCUAGACUACAGUGCUACUAUGUUGUAUUGCAAUAAUGACUGUAUAGUCACUGAAAGAAGUAGUUCCAGGCGCCAUACCGAGACGCCGUUUUGUAUCGUCCGUAAUAUGUAUUUUUGUUUUACACGGUUUAGCGUAUAUUACUACCACACGAUGCCUAAAAUUAUAUGUAGCCUGUUCGAUUGGUUGUACUAUAUAAAUAUAUAUGGGUGCGCGCGCGUGCCUGUGCGUGCGCGUGCGCGUGUUUCAUUUAUAAUAGCAAAUAAAAAUGUGUAACGAAA